rnacentral:lncRNA from 12 species
AGACAACUGAAGAUGGAAAAACUAUCAUCCCCAUAUUUAACUAAUUUGUGCUGUGCAUGAACAAGACCUGCUUUAAAUUUCCACACAAAUUUGCAACCUCAUACUGUACCAAGCAAGGUGUCUGUGACAGCUGGGUUCCCUGGCCCAAGUCUCUGCAGCCUCAAGUUUCAUGCUCUAGAAAGCUGCCAUAGUUCUCUCUCUAUAGGACACAUCCAGUCUCAUCCAAAUGAUCAUUCUGUCUGCAACUUCAAGAGCAGAGAUGAUGGUAUCCUAUGAAGAGCAAGACUCUGGAAAAAGUUACAUCUGAACUUGACUCCCAUUUCUGAGUCUUUACCUGCUACUUAUUCUUGGGCAUGUUUCUUCAACUCUUCUAAUCUUCAAAUUUCAUUAUCUGCAAUUUGGAGAGGGUAAGGACUACCUCUUUGUUCUAAGUAAAGCUGCUUAAGCACAAAGAACAGUGCCUAAGCAGAGAAAGAACUCCUUAAGCCUUAGUUUCAUAUCAUAUCCAAUUUAAAUUGCUGAUAACUAUACAGGAAUGUCUGCUGAAUCGAAGUGACUCCUGCAAUUCAAAGCCCAGAUACUGAGAAACUUUUCAAAGCCUUUAUUGAUGUAACAAUGUCACAGUGAUCUCUUCCUUGCAGCACUUAUUACCCAUCUCCCCCACACAGCGUAGUAGGCACGUAGCCCAUGUAUUGUGUAUUGCCUUUUAGAUGGUGUUCUCUGAUAGAGUAUAAGAUCUAAUACGUGAUUAUUAUUUCUACUGAUUAUUAUUAUUAUU